rnacentral:rRNA from 1 species
AUUGAACGCUGGCGGCAGGCCUAACACAUGCAAGUCGAACGGGUGGCGGACGGGUGAGUAGUGUCUGGGCACCUGCCUGAUGGAGGGGGAUGACUACGGGAACCGGUGGCUAAUGCCGCUUACGAUCGGUUGGGCUCAGAUGGGAUUAGCUAGUAGGUGGGGUAACGGCUCACCAAGGCGACGAUCCCUAGCUGGGCUGAGAGGCUGAUCAGCCACACUGGAACUGAGACACGGUCCAGACUCCUACGGGAGGCAGCAGUGGGGAAUAUUGGACAAUGGGCGAAAGCCUGACGCAGCAACGCCGCGUGUAUGAAGAAGGCCUUCGGGUUGUAAAGUACUGUCAGUGGGGAGGCGGUACUUACAGAAGAAGCAACGGCUAACUCCGUGCCAGCAGCCGCGGUAAUAC